rnacentral:rRNA from 1 species
GAUGAACCCUAGCUACAGGCUUAACACAUGCAAGUCGAGGGGUAACGAGAGGAAAGCUUGCUUUCCUUGUUGACGACCGGCGCACGGGUGAGUAACGCGUAUCCAACCUGCCCCCAACUAGGGAAUAACCUUGCGAAGGUAAGACUAAUACCCUAUAAUUUCCUCAGAUGUCAUCUGACGAGGAAUAAAGAUUUAUCGGUUGUGGAUGGGGAUGCGUCUGAUUAGCUUGUUGGCGGGGUAACGGCCCACCAAGGCAACGAUCAGUAGGGGUUCUGAGAGGAAGGUCCCCCACAUUGGAACUGAGACACGGUCCAAACUCCUACGGGAGGCAGCAGUGAGGAAUAUUGGUCAAUGGGCGGAAGCCUGAACCAGCCAAGUAGCGUGCAGGAUGACGGCCCUAUGGGUUGUAAACUGCUUUUAUACAGGAAUAAAGUUAGCCACGUGUGGUUAUUUGUAGGUACUGUAUGAAUAAGGACCGGCUAAUUCCGUGCCAGCCGCCGCCGUAA